UGUCCUCAAUAUAAAAAGGACAUGGAACUGUUGGAACAAGUCCAGAGGAGGGCCAUGAGGAUGAUCAGGGGACUCUAGCCCUCACCUUAUGAAGAAAGGCUGAGAAAGUUGGGGCUGUUCAGCCUGGAGAAGAGAAGGCUGCGUCAAGACUUCAUCCAGUACCUGAAAUACCCCUUCAGUAUCUGAAGGGGGCCUAUAAGGAUGCUAGGGAGGGACUCUUUGUUAGGGACUGUAGUGAUAGGACAAGGGGUAACGGGUUCAAACUUAAACAGGGGAAGUUUAGAUUGGAUAUAAGGAAGAAGUUCUUUACUGUAAGGGUGGUGAGGCACUGGAAUGGGUUGCCCAGGGAGUUGUGAAUGCUCCAUCCCUGGAGGUGUUCAAGGCCAGGCUGGACAGAGCCUUGGCCUUGGGUGGCAUGGUUUAGUGUGAGGUGUCCCUGCCCAUGAGAGGGGACUUGGAACUAGAUGAUCUUAAGGUCCUUUCCAACCCUAACUAUUCUAUGAUUCUAUGAUUUAAAUAAAAAAACAGAACUACAGUAAAACUAAUACAAUUCUGAAAUUGGCAGCUGAGGUGCAAAUAA